UGACAGCUACCUUGUAUGAGAUAACACAGCUAUGGUCCAGCACCACCAGAAGGAACAACAGGCUGUCAGACCACUGAACACAUUUUUAUUGCUACAGUGUACAUGGGUCUGUGUAUACUGUUUUCUUUCAUUACUCUGCCUUAUACAUUUUAUUUAACUCCUAGCUUUAAUCUUUUGAUGCACUCAUGUUUUUUUAUUAUUUCACAGAGUUCCAGCCAAUUUUUAUGAUUAAAAUGACAAAAUUAAUGAUUUAAUAGUAAAUAUUUCGCUUUUAUUAAAAUGUACAGAACACAGUCGCUGGCUUGCUUUCAUUAGGUAUGCUCGGUAAGUGGACCACAGCGACACUCACACAUGACAAACUCUAGUCAUUGACACUCAAAUCCAACGCACCCUUUCACCUGUGCACGGCGGCCCAUUUGAGUUCCCCAUGCCCUUGCCCACCAUCUUGCACUGAUGUUCAUCUAGACUUUUGUAAAGAUUGCUGAGCAAGAAACAAGCAGCAGUUUGUACCAUUGAAUCAGCACGCUAACCUGUCAACAGCCCGAUCCUGUUGAUCGGGCAGGAUAUGGAAGAAUGGAAGGAUUAAACCAAAAUAGCGGAGUUUUGACGCUCACCUGUACCAGCACACACCUGGUGUGGACGCCCACUCUAAGAUGCUACAUGUCGGCUGCUUCACUUCUCCAAGGAUCCUGGUUGAGUUGUUCCAUCUUGUGGUCGGAUUUGAUAUGAGGACGUCCUUACACCAACACAGGUGACCAACAGACCGCCUUGUUUCCAACAGCAUAAUUAAGAAGACGCAACUCUGAAGAAACAAGAAUUUGGUGCUGAAGGACAGGUGAGUCAUAUCUUUUAGUAUCUUAGAAAAAGCAGCACAUACACAUCAAGAAUAGAUCGUUUAUUUUCAAAAUUCAUGUACAGUUCCCUGAAGAAAUAAUGAGUGACUUAUACAAACCGGUUAAGACAGUGGUACAAACCAUUUCCCCUCAGUUCAUUACAUAAGGUUUUUCAAGACAAGUUUUAUGGUACAAUAGAUUUAAUGGCACAGAUGUGUUCUGUAAA